UACUCUGGUGGGCUAGUGGUUAGAGCAUCCACCUCGGAUGUGGGAGAAUGUGGGUUCAAUCCCCGGUCAAGUCA